UUUUAAGUCCCAAUGCAAAUGCCACUUUACCACACAGCAACAGAGAGCAAACAAGGACACAACAGACUACAUGGGAUGUAUACAUGCAUGCAACUGUGUUUAGCCCUGGCUGGUGGAUGACAGCGUGGCUAGAAGAAUGCCCCAGAAUGAAGAAUGCAGGGGUUUGUUCUGCCUGUAUUCCAUCAUCUGAGUCCACGCGCGUCACAAUGACUAUGUCCCAGCCCUCUAAGUGGAAAAACAAUGUUUAGGAUGGGUAUCCAGCCUCCCAUAUCCCAGGCCCACAAAGAGACCUCCACCUGCUCUCAGUCUCAGGGCCUUCUGGUCAGAAUGGCGUGAGAUUACAAUAUAAUCACAGUUUUGGAGAUUUGAGAGAAGGAAGGGAAGACCGAGAGAGAGGUUGAAGCGGGGGAGAAGAGGACAUGUGACUGAGACUCAUGCGUUGGUGAGUGGACCUUCAGGGAGUGAUGCAGCUCUCCAUGUAAGGGCUGAACUAUACCUCUGUCUACCAUCAUCUUAAUAUCUUCACUCCAAAUCAACACAACUGACCAUUCAAGGUGAUGCCUAUCAUGACAAGUCCCCAAGGAUAAACAGUAAUAUUAGACUGUUUGGACUAAACUCUUGAUUCAUACUACUAUUAACCUUCUCUUAAGAGAGACAUGGAGUCUUAGUGAUGACUUACAGUAUGACUCACCAGUGUCUCCUGACCCCUCCUGUCUCAGCCUCCAGUAUUUAUGCUGCAGUAGUUUAUGUGUCGGGGGGCUGGGGUCAGUUUGUUAUAUCUGGAGUACUUCUC